UGUAAUGAAAUAGGUUGCCUAACUCGGAGAAGGGCCUUAGGCAAAUACUGGGAGCCAGAGUCCUAAUCCAAGAGGUGGGAAAGGUAGGAAAAUUGGGGCAAAUACAGAAGCAGAAGGUGUGUGUUCGUGCAGAGGAGCCUCAGCAAACACCCAAGAGAAGGGCUGAUGUCCCAUUGACUUUGACGAUGUGUUUUCCACCAGAUAAUAUAGCAGAAGCAGUCUCAUUUUCAAAAGCCAAGAGGAAAACAGAACACAUUCCUGGUAUUAGACACUAUUCUCAUGAGAAAGUGAGCUAGAGAAAAGAAAAUCAUAAAGAAGAGAAAAUAUAUUCGCUCAUCACGAAGUGGAAGCGGAUCAUCUUAAAGGUCUUCAUUCUUGAUGUCUUCAUGUCAAGUCGGCUGAGGAGGAGGAGGAAGAGGAGGGAUUGGUCUUGCCAUCUCAGGGGUGGCGGAGGCAAAAGAAAAUCCAUGUAUAAGUGGACGCGUGCAGUUCAAUCAUGUGUUGUUCAAGAAUCAACUGUGUAGACUUUCUCCUUCUCUAGACAUGGGACUUCAAGAUAGAAAGGACCCUCUGUCAUCAUUUUUGCAUCUCCAACAGCCACAACAGUGCUUUAUAUACAACAAAAGACCAAUAAAUGCCUAUCAAAUGCAUUGAA